UACGUAGGGGGCAAGCGUUGUCCGGAAUCAUUGGGCGAAAAGAGCGUGUAGGCGGCUCGAUAAGGCUGCUGUGAAAGUCCAGGGCUCAACCCUGGAAGGCCGGUGGAAACUGUCGGGCUAGAGUCCGGAAGAGGCGAGUGGAAUUCCCGGUGUAGCGGUGAAAUGCGCAGAUAUCGGGAGGAACACCAAUGGCGAAGGCAGCUCGCUGGGACGGUACUGACGCUGAGACGCGAAAGCGUGGGGAGCAAACAGG
rnacentral:rRNA from 1 species